rnacentral:rRNA from 1 species
AGAGUUUGAUCCUGGCUCAGGAUGAACGCUAGCGGCAGGCUUAAUACAUGCAAGUCGUGGGGCAGCACAGGUAGCAAUACUGGGUGGCGACCGGCAAACGGGUGCGGAACACGUACGCAACCUUCCUUUAAGCGGGGAAUAGCCCAGGGAAACUUGGAUUAAUACCCCAUAAUAUCUUCAAAUGGCAUCAUUUGAUUAUU